rnacentral:rRNA from 1 species
UGCAAGUCGAGCGAGCUGAAUUCAAAGAUUCCUUCGGGGUGAUUUGUUGGACGCUAGCGGCGGAUGGGUGAGUAACACGUGGGCAAUCUGCCCUAAAGACUGGGAUACCACUUGGAAACAGGUGCUAAUACCGGAUAACAACAUGAAUCGCAUGAUUCAAGUUUGAAAGGCGGCGCAAGCUGUCACUUUAGGAUGAGCCCGCGGCGCAUUAGCUAGUUGGUGGGGUAAAGGCCUACCAAGGCAAUGAUGCGUAGCCGAGUUGAGAGACUGAUCGGCCACAUUGGGACUGAGACACGGCCCAAACUCCUACGGGAGGCAGCAGUAGGGAAUCUUCCACAAUGGACGCAAGUCUGAUGGAGCAACGCCGCGUGAGUGAAGAAGGUUUUCGGAUCGUAAAGCUCUGUUGUUGGUGAAGAAGGAUAGAGGCAGUAACUGGUCUUUAUUUGACGGUAAUCAACCAGAAAGUCACGGCUAACUACGUGCCAGCAGCCGCGGUAAUACGUAGGUGGCAAGCGUUGUCCGGAUUUAUUGGGCGUAAAGCGAGCGCAGGCGGAAUGAUAAGUCUGAUGUGAAAGCCCACGGCUCAACCGUGGAACUGCAUCGGAAACUGUCAUUCUUGAGUGCAGAA